rnacentral:rRNA from 1 species
GAUGAACGCUAGCUACAGGCUUAACACAUGCAAGUCGAGGGGCAGCAUGAUUGAAGCUUGCUUCAAUCGAUGGCGACCGGCGCACGGGUGAGUAACACGUAUCCAACCUGCCGAUAACUCGGGGAUAGCCUUUCGAAAGAAAGAUUAAUACCCGAUAGUAUAGUAUUUCCGCAUGGUUUCACUAUUAAAGAAUUUCGGUUAUCGAUGGGGAUGCGUUCCAUUAGAUAGUUGGCGGGGUAACGGCCCACCAAGUCAACGAUGGAUAGGGGUUCUGAGAGGAAGGUCCCCCACAUUGGAACUGAGACACGGUCCAAACUCCUACGGGAGGCAGCAGUGAGGAAUAUUGGUCAAUGGACGAGAGUCUGAACCAGCCAAGUAGCGUGAAGGAUGACUGCCCUAUGGGUUGUAAACUUCUUUUAUACGGGAAUAAAGUGGAGUAUGCAUACUC